rnacentral:rRNA from 1 species
UCUCAGCCGCCCUCAUCCCCAUCUCUCCCCACACGUUCUUCUCCCCACACUCCCGACUCCCUUCCUCUCUUCUCUCCCCUUCUCUCUGUCCAGGGAAGAACGACACUCCAGUCCCUCUCAAUGGACACCGCUGCUUCAAGGAUUCCCCGCAGAGCUUUUGAUCCAGAUCAGAUCGAGGCCACCACCGAGCUCCUCGAGCCUCCUCCUUCCUCUUCGCCCUCGCGCACGCCGCCCCACUGGAGCUCCAGUGCCUCCCCGCAGCACCUUCUUCUCCCUGCUUUCUCCUUCUUCCUCUCUUCCCCCCUGCAUCUCAGUCCUUUCGUUUUCCCUUGGUCAUGAGCAGAGGAAGCAUACAUGAGGCCUCGCCGCCACCGCCACCGCCACCGCCUCCGAGUUCGCCGUCCGUUGGUGAACAUCUCCCCUGCGAUCGGCGCCGCGGCCCUCUGCCUCGCCUCCAUCAUACGUGAGGAUGAUGACGACAACGUCGUCAUUGACCCAUCCAGGUCCGUCCGUCGCCUCGCUCGCGUGGGAUGCACCUGCGCAUGGAUUGCCGGUCAGGCAAGCCGUCCCUCGCCGGCGGGAGCGCUGGUGCCGCUAGCCUGAAGCAUCUGAUGGCAGACCAGACGUUGCUCCGACGGCGAUCGGGACUCAUCUUUGCAUUCAUUCUUUUCCCCAUCUGCAUCUCUGCCAUCUGAGUCAAUUGUAAAUCGUCACCUCGCUGCUGGUUGUGCUAAUUCGAUUUCUUCGUAACGGCCAAGGGCCUCGCCAAGCAGCGGGAGGACUUGCGGGCUAGGCUGGCUUGCCGCAAGCACGCCCGCGAGCUGGCCCUUGUGCCGGUCAAGGCCACCUCCGGCGACUUCCUGUCCGACGUGCUCUCCGAAGCCUUGCCCCAUUCCUGUGCUAGGGCAGCGCGGAUGCCCCCGCGACGCAUCACCCCUUCCUUGGCUUCUGCAGAGGACGCCGGUGGCAAUCGGCGGGGCGUGCCCGGCGGUUCGGUGGAGGGAGGCAAUGGAGGAAUCCGGCAAUGGAUAAGUGGGCGGAGGUGGCCGGUGGUGGCAGGGGUUUUUAUUCAAAAAAACGAAACGUUAUCUCAUCAGGAACAUACAUUAAGUAGGACUGCGGGUUGAUUUCUUAUAAACCGAGGGACUGUUAUGCAAAAGCGACGACGGACGACGGAAAUCCAAUUUUCUUUAUUAUUAGGUAAAGAUUACAUGAGGAAUCACACCCGACAUAAUUAUCCAUCACUGAUUCAUUGCCUACGAGCUUUUUACAUAUUGUUCUUCGCUUAUUUACUUUUUCGUUGCUACUGUUACAAUCACUAUAAAACCCAAAAACAUUACUUUUGCUAUUGUUACCUUUAUUAUCAUAUUACUUUGCUACUAAAUACUUUGCUGCAGAUACUAAGUUAUCCAGAUGUGGUUGAAUUGAUAACUCAACUGCUAAUACUCAAGAUUAUCUUUUGGCUCCCCUUGUGUCGAAUCAAUAAAUUUGGGUUGAAUACUUUACCCUCGAAAGAUGUUGCGAUCCCCUACACUUGUGGGUUAUCAUGCCCCC